rnacentral:rRNA from 1 species
GAGUUUGAUCAUGGCUCAGAACGAACGCUGGCGGCGUGCUUAACACAUGCAAGUCGAACGAGAAAGCCUUCUUCGGAAGGCGAGUACAGUGGCGCACGGGUGAGUAACGCGUAGAUAACCUGCCUGGAUGUCUGGGAUAACCCUCCGAAAGGGGGACUAAUACCGGAUACGCUGGUUUGUCACAAGACGAAUCAGGAAAGAUGGCCUCUGAUGUAAGCUAUCGCAUUUUGAGGGGUCUGCGUACCAUUAGCUUGUUGGUGGGGUAACGGCCUACCAAGGCGACGAUGGUUAGCGGGUCUGAGAGGAUGAUCCGUCACACUGGCACUGAAACACGGGCCAGACUCCUACGGGAGGCAGCAGUGAGGAAUAUUGCGCAAUGGGGGAAACCCUGACGCAGCGACGCCGCGUGAGUGAGGAAGGCCUUCGGGUCGUAAAGCUCUGUCAGAAGGGAAGAAGUGUUCAACGGUUAAUACCCGUUGGAUUGACGGUACCUCAAAGA